UACGAAGGGGGCUAGCGUUGCUCGGAAUUACUGGGCGUAAAGCGUGCGCAGGCGGUUAUGCAAGACAGAUGUGAAAUCCCCGGGCUCAACCUGGGAACUGCAUUUGUGACUGCAUGGCUAGAGUGCGGCAGAGGGGGAUGGAAUUCCGCGUGUAGCAGUGAAAUGCGUAGAUAUGCGGAGGAACACCGAUGGCGAAGGCAAUCCCCUGGGCCUGCACUGACGCUCAUGCACGAAAGCGUGGGGAGCAAACAGG
rnacentral:rRNA from 1 species